rnacentral:misc_RNA from 1 species
UGAUAGAAUGCCUGUGAGAGAUAUAACUUCUUGGAAUACCAUGAUAUCGGGUUAUGUGAAGAACGGUAAACCGAAAGAGGCUUUGGCCAUUUUUUACUUAAUGAAGCAAACUGGAUUGUCUGCAGAUGGCAUGACUUUGGUUGGUCUCCUUUGUGCUUGUGCCGAGCUAGCUGCACUGAAGCAGGGAAAAGAGAUUCAUGGCUAUGUUGUCAGAAAUGG